UUUCUUCUGAUUAUUAGGUCUUUCCUCUUUUCUGUGGAAAGACCUAUUGUUUUUCUUCUGAUUAUUAGGUCUUUCCACUUUUCUGUGGAAAGACCUAUUGUUUUUCUUCUGAUUAUUUUUUUUUUCUUCCGCCUAAUUUUGUUCUUGCGAUAAACAUUUGUUUCGCAAUAUGUCGCUUUGAUAUUUGGUAUAUGAUAUCGAACAGUUUAUGCGCUUUUGAAAUUUACCCUGCGUAACCGAAUACUUUUCUUUGUAGGAGUUAUCUCCCCAAACACUGUUUUCCUUGUGCUCACAACUCCUUCGCAACCGUAAACGAUAACGACAAAUUUAUUUUACAAAAUUGCUCGUUAUAUCCUUUGCAUGAUUUGUCCUAUUUUGACCGAAGCAAUAUGACCGCUCCAUAUGAGAGUUAUUUCCCCUUAUGCAUCUGAUAUAAGUGAUAUGCAUUUCUAUCUUAUAAACCAUAAGUGAUAGAGACCUAGGAUCUUUUGAUUUGAGGUCCUUGGUCCAAAAAAAUGAAAAUUAGGUCAAGGUCAAAGGUCAAGGUCAUAUUCUAAUAUUUGAAUUUGGCUUAUUUUUACUUAUAUCCAAAGACCGUAUAAGAUAUCAACAAAUAAUUUUUACUAAAUUGUUAGUUGCGACAUGUCGUGACACAGAAAUUUUUAUUGCAAGGGCAUGUUGAACGUAAAAGGAAGUUUUCUCCCCUCUUGUAUUUAAAAAUACGUGUUUGGUGAUAUAAGUCAUUAACCAAAUAUAAUUAAGACCUAUGGUCUUUGAUUUGAGGUCCUUAGUUCAUGACCUUGAAAUUGAUCUCAAGGUCAUAGCUUAUUUGACGUUCUAGAUUUUGACCUUGCUUUUUUAUAUGUAUACAUGAUAAAGGUAGCAAUACACAGUUAGAAGUUUAGUUUCGCAUUAUGGCCCCUGUGAAUUUUUUAAAUAUGAAAGUUUUUGUACAAUAAAAUUGAUUUUUAGAUAAUUGAAGAAUAAUAUAGCCUUCUUAGUGGGUUUAUAUGAACAUUAAGAUUGUUUUUAACAUGUUUUAUAGGCCAUUUAUAUGAUUGACAGUCCGUAUUUUCCUAUCCGUACCGUUCAUAGGUCCAUACAUUAUUGUAGUGUUUAUCAACAAAGAUUUUGCGCUCGAUCUUUUCAAUUCAAUUUUAUGGAAAAACGAGCAGAUAAGCAUAUGAUUUUUUUGGGACCACUUGAUAGAUAUAAACCUAUGGAUUCAGGAAAGGUAUUACUGUAAUUGAUUGAAAUUUUCCUUUAGAUCAAAUUUUGGAGACUUUUGUGACAUGUUCACCCCCCUUUUUUGCUAUAUUUUGUAUCUAAGAAAUGCAGAUUGUUGCCAUGGUUACACCCAAGAGGGAUUAUAUUUCACCCUUAUGACCAUUAGAAAUCAAAUCUAUGGAAGAUUCUCUUUCUAUAAGUAUAUACAUGCAUAACACACAUAUAAAGCCUUCUUUGUUAGACAGGAGGGGAAAGAGGGUGUUUAAAAAUUAUGAGUGUCAAUUUUAAGUUUUUUUCCUAACUGUGUAUUGCUACCUUAUGGCAUUUGACAAAGCAAAGAAUUGCUUUUUUUUUUUAGACAAAUCAUACCACAAAUCUAUUGAUAACUAGGUUAUAGAUACAAUUCUGAGGGAGAAACAACCUUUAGAAUGACAAUAUAUGUUAGUUUUGUUGUUUAUUGUCCUUAGCAACCAAUAUAGACAUUUUGACACAAAGACUUGGUUCCGUCAUAAAUUGAAACUUUAUUGGCUACCCCUUGGAAAAGAAGAUUGCGCGUUAUGUAGAAACCUUAGAAGGGAACGCUUUAUAUUUUUUCAUGCGACUAAAUCAAAUUUAUUAUUUUAGCAAGUAUAAAGUCACAAUUUAGCAUGAAUUAAGCCUAAAUUUUUUUCCCGCUAUUAUAAAUGAAUUCAGUAUUUACUAAAUUUUAACCAAGGCUUUGGUAUGGUAAUACACAACAAAAUUGACAUUCUAGAGCUUUAAAAUAGCUUUAACUUGUAAAAUUUGUCUACUGUUAAGGUUAAUUUAAGUUUUUAAACAAGAAAAGACAGGCUUAGAAGGUAUAGUUUUAGAAAUUUGACUAAAAAAGGAGAAAAUGCACUUUGACAUGGCAUGUUUCAUAAAAUCACUUUUUUGUUGCAUUUCAGUGUCAACUGCUAACCUUCAUAAAAUAUUUAUUUCUGAACCGAUUUUCAAAACUAGCAGGCCAAUUUGCUCGUUUUAGCUAGUAGAAAACAGAAAUCCAUUUAAAGUGGAAUUGGGAAAAAAAAUGUUAAUCCUUAAGGUAGCAAUACACAGUUAGAAGUUUAGUUUCGCAUUAUGGCCCCUGUGAAUUUUUUUAAAUAUGAAAGUUUUUGUACAAUAAAAUUGAUUUUUAGAUAAUUGAAGAAUAAUAUAGCCUUCUUAGUGGGUUUAUAUGAACAUUAAGAUUGUUUUUAACAUGUUUUAUAGGCCAUUUAUAUGAUUGACAGUCCGUAUUUUCCUAUCCGUACCGUUCAUAGGUCCAUACAUUAUUGUAGUGUUUAUCAACAAAGAUUUUGCGCUCGAUCUUUUCAAUUCAAUUUUAUGGAAAAACGAGCAGAUAAGCAUAUGAUUUUUUUGGGACCACUUGAUAGAUAUAAACCUAUGGAUUCAGGAAAGGUAUUACUGUAAUUGAUUGAAAUUUUCCUUUAGACCAAAUUUUGGAGACUUUUGUGACAUGUUCACCCCCCUUUUUUGCUAUAUUUUGUAUCUAAGAAAUGCAGAUUGUUGCCAUGGUUACACCCAAGAGGGAUUAUAUUUCACCCUUAUGACCAUUAGAAAUCAAAUCUAUGGAAGAUUCUCUUUCUAUAAGUAUAUACAUGCAUAACACACAUAUAAAGCCUUCUUUGUUAGACAGGAGGGGAAAGAGGGUGUUUAAAAAUUAUGAGUGUCAAUUUUAAGUUUUUUUCCUAACUGUGUAUUGCCCAGCUGAAACUUUGAAAAAGUAUCAAACAUUUAACCUGAAAAAAACAACCGGAAGUGCUUUUGUAAACCGGAAGUAGCUAUUUUUGUACUUUAUUAAUAAAAAGUAUAUAGAACCAGAUUUUUGGAAUCAGUGUCAAGUAAAUAUUCAAUAUAUCGUAAGUAACAUUUUUCAAACCGAAGUAACAAAUUAUCUCCCUUAUUUAAAAAAAAUGUAUGGAAACCAAAUAUUUUUGGAAUCAGCGUACUAGAAGCUAUCAUUUGACGAUUAAAAUGACAUUUUAAACUUAGUUUCACAACUUUCAUAUCAAAAUACAUUGUUUUGAUGGAAAGACCUUCAAUUGUUCUCUGAACAAUUGGUUUUUAAUUAGGUCUUUCCACUUUUCUGUGGAAAGACCUAUUGUUUUUCUUCUGAUUUUUUUUUUUUUUUUUUUUUCUUCCGCCUAAUUUUGUUCUUGCGAUAAACAUUUGUUUCGCAAUAUGUCGCUUGGAUAUUUGGUAUAUGAUAUCGAACAGUUUAUGCACUUUUGAAAUUUACCCUGCGUAAACGAAUACUUUUCUUUGUAGGAGUUAUCUCCCCAAACACUGUUUUCCUUGUUAGCGCAUCUCCUUCGCAACCGUAAAAGAUUAUGACAAAUUUAUUUUACAAAAUUGCUCGUUAUAUCCUUCGCAUGAUUUGUCCUAUUUUGACCGAAGCGAUAUGACCGCUCCAUAUGAGAGUUAUUUCCCCUUAUGCAUCUGAUAUAAGUGAUAUGAAUUUCUAUCUUAUAAAUCAUAAGUGAUAGAGACCUAGGAUCUUUUGAUUUGAGGUCCUUGGUCCCAAAAAAUGAAAAUUAGGUCAAGGUCAAAGGUCAAGGUCAUAUUCUAAUAUUUGAAUUUGGCUUAUUUUCACUUAUAU
rnacentral:lncRNA from 1 species